UACCCUUAUGUACCCCCACCAUAACUGGACUUAUAGGUAGUGUCAUGAUUUACUGGAAUGCAUCCUACCGUGACUGUCUUUUCAUAACCUAACCUAGGGAGUCACUACUGACAUAGACUAGCCUGACUUGACUCGGAACACAGUAAAUCCCAGAGUGAAAUACCUAUACAGUGCAUCAUAACCUCAUCUUCAUUGAUUUAAUGUAAACAAGAAUGCCAAGUACACUACAUCAACAUAAUGUAUAGUAAAUCACAAGCAAAGUAUAAUCUGUCCAUGAACUCUUAUGCCCAGGAUACUGUAAAGAAGACUUGAAAAUGCUAACAGAAACAAACUCAGAUUGAAGGAAAGAUUCUAAUACAUCUCCAGAAUGUAUUUGCUGCAACGAUUUUGAUUAGUUCCAGGUGACAAUGUAAUAUACAUUGAAGCCUGCGUAGUUGACAGACCUGCCGCAGCAUUUCAAGUGGUAGCUGGCAAACCAGUUGUGGGCAAGCUCUCAGCCCAGGAUCAAAUCUUCAUUUCCCACUGUGUCUUCAACUUCAGCACUACUUCAAAUUGGCGGCUCUGCAACCCUUUCACCAUUAAGUUGGUAUGACACAGAAUGGACGAGGAGGAAAGAAGAUACCGAGAACACAUGCAACAGUUUGCCCUUGAACAGGCCGCAAACCGAUGUAGCCUAGUCUUAAGCCGCCAAAAAUAUGAAGCUAUAGUUAAACAUCUUUUGCAUCCUCGAGUUAAGGUUGACUC